rnacentral:rRNA from 1 species
UAAGACGGAGGGCGCAAACGUUGUUCGGAAUCACUGGGCGUAAAGGGCGCGUAGGCGGGACUGUAAGUCCGAGGUGAAAGCCCGGGGCUCAACCCCGGGACUGCCUUGGAAACUGCAGUCCUCGAGUGCAGGAGAGGAAGGCGGAAUUCCAGGUGUAGCGGUGGAAUGCGUAGAUAUCUGGAAGAACACCAGUGGCGAAGGCGGCCUUCUGGACUGACACUGACGCUGAGGCGCGAAAGCUAGGGGAGCAAACAGGAUUAGAUACCCUGGUAGUCCUAGCUGUAAACGAUGGGUACUAGGUGCUGGGCGUUUCGACACGUUCAGCGCCGCAGCUAACGCACUAAGUACCCCGCCUGGGGAGUACGGCCGCAAGGCUG